rnacentral:rRNA from 1 species
CUACCCCCGUACUCUACCUCACGAAAGCUGCCCCGGUACGCCCCGCAACCAUAAACGCGACGCCCAGAGAAGAUGUGAGUGCGUUAAUGCCUAGGAUCGUACGCUGCGAGCAUCUACAUAUUCACCCCGGACCUUUCUCCCGGUCUCGACCGUCUCACUCCAUCUCCGUCCCAUCCACCUGCAGCUAGCAGCGGCCGCGCGCGCUGUGGAUCAUAAGCAAUCUUCCAUGGAGCCGCCGCCUUCUCCGCUGGGCACCGGCGCCGGCGCUGUCUGCUGCAUGUGCGGCGAUCGCGGCCUGCCGCACGAGCUGCUCCGCUGCAAGCUCUGCCGCGUCCGCCUGCAGCACAGAUACUGCAGCGAUCUGUACCCGAGGGCCACGGCGUAUAGGAGGUGCAACUGGUGCCUGAGGGAGCCCGCAGAAGCCCACGCCCAACCCCACGCUCACCCGGUGGCUAGCAAGAAGGCGGACAAACGGAAGAUGGUGGCAUCAACGGAGACGUCCACCUCCGACGAGGAGGAGCGGCGGCAGCACGAGGCCGGAUGCGCCACUGCUACGAGGUCCAGGAGAUCGGCUGCGGAGGUUGGUAAGCCGGUCAAGAAGCCCAAGGUCGACGAGAGGCCACCGCUGCCCCCGUCGCCGGGCACGGCAGCGAAGGGGAACAGCGGCGACAAGAAGCCCAAGGUCGACGAGACGCCAGCGCUGCCUCCGUCGCCGCGCACGGCAGCGAAAGGGAACAGCGGUGACAAGAAGCCCAAGGUCGAUGAGAGGCCGGCGCUGCCUCCGUCGCCGGGCGCGGCAGCGAAGGGGAACAGCGGUGACAAGAAGCCCAAGGUCGACAAGAGGCCAGCGCUGCCUCCGUCGCCGGGCACGGCGGCGAAGGGGAACAACGGCGACAAGAAGCCUAAGGUCGACGAGUGGACGGCGCUGCCCCCGUCCCCGGGCACGGCGGCGAAGGGGAGCAGCGGCGACAAGAAGCCGAUGCAAGCGGGGAAGUUGGCGCGGCCGGGUAGGGUGAAGGUGAGGAGGUACAAGCUCCUGGCAGAGGUGAUUAGCUGCUAGCCAGGAUCACGGAAUCAAAAGGGGAAGUAGCUGGCAACUUAGCCAAAUAGCUAGCCAACAUCGACAUUGGUGAUUUGGUGUCGAUGUAUGUACAUAUCGUUUGCCCGUCGUGUACGGGUUUCCCCUCUCUUUUUUGGGAGAGAGUCGACUACCGUGGUAGCGCUGUACAGAUCUUAAACCGUCAGUUUUAGUAUAUACCAGUUGACGUGCAUAGAGGGGGCGGUUUGACUUUAUGUCUGGGCCGCGAUGAGCUGGUUGCUCCGUGCGGUGGUAUGUUGGGGCGAUGGCCUCCCUCAAGAGAUGAGUCAGUGCAACGGCCAUGGUCUGCGAACGGUUACACUUCGCAACUUAGGUUGUAGGUGGUUAGGCCGUGCAGCAUUGUAACUUGAGAGUGAGUGGUGGUAUGUCGGGGUGGUGGCCCUCGAAGGUUAGGUCAGUAAGCCGGUCAAGGAGCCCAAGGUCGACGAGAAGCCAGCGCUGCCACUGUCGCUGGGGAUGGUAGCGAAGGGGAACAACAACGAUGAGAAGCCGAUGCAGGCGAGAAAGUUGGCGCGGCUGGGUAGGGUCAAGGUGAGGAGGUGCAAACUCCUGGCAGGUGUGAGAAUAAAAGGGUAAGCAGCUAGCCACCAUCGACAGAUGUCGAUAAAUAUAUACAUCGUUUACUCGUCAUAUACAUGUUUUUCCUCCUUUUUGUUUUUUGAGAGAGUUCACUAGGUGCUAGUGAUGUACAAGUCUAGGAGUUUCGAGUAAAUUAAGUCAUUUUUUACUUUUAUACACCAUGGGUUCGUGUGCCAG